CGUAGGGUGCGAGCGUUGUCCGGAAUUAUUGGGCGUAAAGAGCUCGUAGGCGGCCUGUUGCGUCUGCUGUGAAAGCCCGGGGCUUAACCCCGGGUCUGCAGUGGAUACGGGCAGGCUAGAGUUCGGCAGGGGAGACUGGAAUUCCUGGUGUAGCGGUGAAAUGCGCAGAUAUCAGGAGGAACACCGGUGGCGAAGGCGGGUCUCUGGGCCGAUACUGACGCUGAGGAGCGAAAGCGUGGGGAGCGAACAGGAUUAGAUACCCUGGUAGUCCACGCCGUAAACGUUGGGCGCUAGGUGUGGGGUCCCUUCCACGGGUUCCGUGCCGUAGCUAACGCAUUAAGCGCCCCGCCUGGGGAGUACGGCCGCAAGGCUA
rnacentral:rRNA from 1 species